CCUACGGGUGGCUGCAGUCGAGAAUCAUUCACAAUGGGGGAAACCCUGAUGGUGCGACGCCGCGUGGGGGAAUGAAGGUCUUCGGAUUGUAAACCCCUGUCAUGUGGGAGCAAAUUAAAAAGAUAGUACCACAAGAGGAAGAGACGGCUAACUCUGUGCCAGCAGCCGCGGUAAUACAGAGGUCUCAAGCGUUGUUCGGAAUCACUGGGCGUAAGGCGUGCGUAGGCUGUUUCGUAAGUCGGGUGUGAAAGGCGCGGGCUCAACCCGCGGACGGCACAUGAUACUGCGAGACUAGAGUAAUGGAGGGGGAACCGGAAUUCUCGGUGUAGCAGUGAAAUGCGUAGAUAUCGAGAGGAACACUCGUGGCGAAGGCGGGUUCCUGGACAUUAACUGACGCUGAGGCACGAAGGCCAGGGGAGCGAAAGGGAUUAGAUACCCGGGUAGUC
rnacentral:rRNA from 1 species